rnacentral:lncRNA from 1 species
UUAAAAAGAAGGGUUAAAUAUGUUUUUCGUUCCUCAAGUAUCACACGAUUUUAGAUUUAGUCCCUGCUUGAAACAUUGAUGGACUAAAAGUCCUCAUAGUUUUAAAACUAUUACUAUUAAUCCUUAAAAUUGGAGGACGUUAACUUUUUAUUUGAGGUGGCAAACGACAAACCACGUGGUAUGUGACUUUCCUGUGCCACGUUGCUUUUUUUUUUUAUUCUCCUGUAACUCUAUCGUCUCUUCCACUUCCACUUCCACUUUCACCUCCUUCGUCUCCACCCCCAACGACUCCCUUCGCUCCUCCGCCGGCGACACAUUCUUUGCGACCUCCGUCUGCUCCUCCACCGUCUAGUCCUUCGACUUCAUCCCCGUCAUCAACCAAACCACUUCACCGUCUAGUUCUCCUCCCUCACCGGGGUCUCCAACAUGCAUCUAGUAGCGGUGGCGGCGGUGGCAGCACUCUAAGUCCACCGUCUCAGAGCUCGCCUUCUCCUCAGAUCGAGUCCAACCACGUUUUCGC